rnacentral:rRNA from 1 species
AUUGAACGCUGGCUGCAGUCCUAACACAUGCAAGUCGAGCGGAUGAAGGGAUCUUGCUCCUGGAUUCAGCGGCGGACUUGUGAGUAAUGCCUAGGAAUCUGCCUGGUAGUGGGGGAUAACGUCCGGAAACGGGCGCUAAUACCGCAUACGUCCUGAGGGAGAAAGUGGGGGAUCUUCGGACCUCACGCUAUCAUAUGAGCCUAGGUCGGAUUAUCUAGUUGGUGGGGUAAAGGCCUACCAAGGCGACGAUCCGUAACUGGUCUGAGAGGAUGAUCAGUCACACUGGAUCUGAGACACGGUCCAGAAUCCUACGGGAGGCAGCAGUGGGGAAUAUUGGACAAUGCGCGCAAGCCUGAUCCAGCCAUGCCGCGUGUGUGCAGAAGGUCUUCGGAUUGUAAAGCACGUUACGUUGGGAGGAAGGGCAGUAAGUUAAUCCCUUGUUGUUUUGACGUUAGCAACAGAAUAAGCCCAGGCUAGCUUCGUG